rnacentral:misc_RNA from 1 species
GAUGAAGAACGCAGUGAAAUGCGAUACGUAAUGUGAAUUGCAGAAUUCAGUGAAUCAUCGAGUCUUUGAACGCACAUUGCGCCCCCUGGUAUUCCGGGGGGCAUGCCUGUCCGAGCGUCAUUGCUGCCCUCAAGCACGGCUUGUGUGUUGGGCCUCCGUCCUCCUCCCGGGGGACGGGCCCGAAAGGCAGCGGCGGCACCGCGUCCGGUCCUCGAGCGUAUGGGGCUUCGUCACCCGCUCUUGUAGGCCCCGCCGGCGCUUGCCGACACAUCAAUCUUUUUUCCAGGUUGACCUCGGAUCAGGUAGGGAUACCCGCUGAACUUAAGCAUAUCAAUAAGCGGAGGA